GGGUGGGAGUGGAGGGGCAACAGAUGGGAGGAAUGACACAUGAGGUAAUAACCUUGCUCAAACGCGUUUGGCUCUUUGGAGCCGACAGAACACUGAUUAUGAUUAUGCAAAGACGACAAUGGACAGAUUUCCUCAUAAUCAAAUUUAAAUUCAGCAUUCCAAAUAAAUGUUUUUGAGCAUUUAGACAUUUUCAGUUUCGUGAUAUGUGCUAUGUGGGCCUCCCGUGCUACUAGUGUUAUUAGCUCGUCUAAAGUUUAUUACUCUGUCCUUUUUAUCGCUCUGCAAAUGCCCGCUCGCUCCGUGCUGCCUGACUGUCAGACGUGGCGUGAUCUAGAUACAGGCAGAUUGAUAUUGACAGACAACAGGACGAGUGCAGUGUGAGGAAGCAGCGCGGGCAGAUACAUCAUGGUAAAUGUCACCCUUAAUUGGAUGCCUAUCGCUUAAAUAGCGCCAGUCAAGACUAAAUAAAUAAGCCCAACUCCCGACCACAGGAUGUGGAGCUAACGUGGACCUGAGGGCUAAUUAUUUCAGUGGUCUCUGGUAUCAACAGCUGUGGAGGAGGACAAAUAGACUUGAGACAAAUGAAGGACAGUCUAGUUCUUUUUUGACGUAUGCGAGUCACAUCCAGUUCGCUGAUUAGGUUUCAAACAAUGCAGAACUGCGGCGACAGUGCAUUCAGAAGUUAUUUUGUUGUCAUUCUGAUUUUGAACAACUGCUUUUAAUUACAUCAAUCAGCUAAUGUUAGCAUGCUGACAUAAUGUCCUGUUCUAGGGCGGUGCACUGGACGAAGAUCACACCUGCUGCACCGCUGGCACGCUGUAAUCAGGGCGCGUCUGGUGGCAAACAAAAUCAGGCCCAGCACUGGUCAUUAGCAGGGUUGAUGAAUAGGCAUCAACCCAGAUCACAUGUCAUGUAACUGGAGAUGUCCUGUUGCCGCUUGGAGUCUCCCGGCAGUAAUGGGCGUGUGCAGGUGUGAAGGGACCCCACGAUUCAGGGUCAGGAGGUCAGUGACGUUGCAGGCAGGCGAACACCGGAUGGAUGUGACUGCUUCAUGGCGACAGAGGGACAUAAUACAACCCGGGAAAGAUGGCAGAUGAGGAUCAGGAAGGAACUCAUGAGACUGAUAAAACCAUCCAAACAGGAGGAAGAGGAAGUUUAUGACUGCAGAAUAGAAUAAAACUAAACAGUCUUACCA
rnacentral:lncRNA from 1 species